rnacentral:rRNA from 1 species
AUUGAACGCUGGCGGCAGGCCUAACACAUGCAAGUCGAACGGUAACAGGAAACAGCUUGCUGUUUCGCUGACGAGUGGCGGACGGGUGAGUAAUGUCUGGGAAACUGCCUGAUGGAGGGGGAUAACUACUGGAAACGGUAGCUAAUGCCGCAUAACGUCGCAAGACCAAAGAGGGGGACCCUCGGGCCUCUUGCCAUCGGAUGUGCCCAGAUGGGAUUAGCUUGUUGGUGGGGUAACGGCUCACCAAGGCGACGAUCCCUAGCUGGUCUGAGAGGAUGACCAGCCACACUGGAACUGAGACACGGUCCAGACUCCUACGGGAGGCAGCAGUGGGGAAUAUUGCACAAUGGGCGCAAGCCUGAUGCAGCCAUGCCGCGUGUAUGAAGAAGGCCUUCGGGUUGUAAAGUACUUUCAGCUGGGAGGAAGGGAGUGAAGUUAAUACCUUUGCUCAUUGACGUUACCCGCAGAAGAAGCACCGGCUAACUCCGUG